rnacentral:rRNA from 1 species
UACGUAGGGUGCAAGCGUUAUCCGGAAUUAUUGGGCGUAAAGAGCUCGUAGGCGGUUUGUCGCGUCUGCUGUGAAAACUGGGGGCUCAACCCCCAGCCUGCAGUGGGUACGGGCAGACUAGAGUGCGGUAGGGGAGAUUGGAAUUCCUGGUGUAGCGGUGGAAUGCGCAGAUAUCAGGAGGAACACCGGUGGCGAAGGCGGGUCUCUGGGCAGUAACUGACGCUGAGGAGCGAAAGCGUGGGGAGCGAACAGG